CGGGUGAGUAACACGUAUCCAACCUGCCGUCUACUCUUGGACAGCCUUCUGAAAGGAAGAUUAAUACAAGAUGGCAUCAUGAGUCCGCAUGUUCACAUGAUUAAAGGUAUUCCGGUAGACGAUGGGGAUGCGUUCCAUUAGAUAGUAGGCGGGGUAACGGCCCACCUAGUCUUCGAUGGAUAGGGGUUCUGAGAGGAAGGUCCCUCACAUUGGAACUGAGACACGGUCCAA
rnacentral:rRNA from 1 species